rnacentral:tRNA from 1 species
GAAGGUGUAGCUCAGCUGGUUAGAGUACCUGCUUGACAUGCAGGGGGUCGGUGGUUCGAGUCCACUCAUCUUCACCA